GCUGCCGCUUUUGGAAGCCACACACUCUCCUGCUCGAGUCUCUUCGGUAUCCGACUUGGGUCCAUAACUGGUUGGCUCCUGCAGGAGCCCGGCGCUUAUGGCGGCACGGCAGAUCUUCAAGAGCUCCUUGCAGUCCAAAAGCUUCGCCACCUCUUCGAUGUCCACUAGCUUGCUCUGAGUGACAACUAAUUUCCCUGUGUAAAUGAAUUCCAAAAACGUGGAAAAGUCUCCAGGUUGCAUGUUGGAGAGCGGGAUGUUGUCCCGGGCAGCGUCCUGGGCGAGGAGGAUGUUCUUGAAGUAGCCACUGGAGGCGGCGAGGAUCACCUGGUGCGCCUGGAAAACCUGAACGUCUCCACGGUGUUCCACCUGUACGGUGACGUCACUGAGGUGCCCCUGCAGCCUCAGGUGGUGCAGGGAGUCCAGGAUGUGCUCGUGGUGAGACGUUGAGCUCACCCGAGGGCACUUAGUGUUUGCCUGAAAAAGGUUGGAAGGCACUACGGGAAGCAGGAGAAGUCACAUGAUCGAGCAGCCGCCUUGCAUCAUCACGCCAGUAACGUGUUGCGGCUGAACGCCGUUGACGUUACAGCGGGGUUGUUCUGUACAGCGUGACGUCGCCAGGCAACACGGUGAGGAAGACUUGUCAUGUCCGUUCCGGGAUGUCCUUGAAGUCUCCUAACCUCCUGACCUUGGCCCAAAGUCAUUGUGGUUUUGCCAUCAUCAUCAGCAGUCGAGGUGAACGUCCUCCUUUGGCCCCCGGGCAUGCAGAGCCCCGCCACCCGCCGCCCUCCGCCCGCCGCCACCUAGCGCCUGUUUCUCACUCGCCGCCCCGCGUUGCGUCAUGUUCCGAUCAGAGCCACAACAAGAGCACAGGGAGAUGCUCCCGGCCUGAGGCAAACGCUGCUCAACUUUGCAUCAGAACUUUUCCUCUUUCAAAGGCGGGGCGUGUCUAGAAGUUUUGCUGAAAGGCAAAGCUUUCCAAAGAACUGUACACAGAUAGCCUUCUAAGUAGGCGGAGCAAAGGCACGCCGUGAGGCCGUGAACAGAAGCGCGCUUGUGCUCCCCUUUAGCACGCUGUCCAUUCAUGCAUAAUAAAUGACCUCCACUGGCACAGGCACUCACUGGACUUCCUGUCUUCCAGUAAAAGGAGCGCUCUCUAUCACGUGACCCGGACGGCUGGAAAACCAUGUGACAUGCCAACACCGUGACUCCCACCCAUGGCGAUCGCUACCUUUAGCAACAUCAAGCCUCUUUUUUAUGAGCUGUCACUUUCCCAAAAAUUCAAAUAAUUUAUUUCAUUUUUGGACCAUCUAUGGAAACUUCCUCGUUUUUCCCAACACUUUACUCCUGGAGUCCACAGCAACAAACAAGACAUAAAGGAACCAGACCGAGACCCUAGGGUCCUGUCCAUCAAAGGAACCAGACUGAGACCCUAGGGUCCUGUCCAUCAGAGGAACCAGACUAGGGGUCCUGUCCUGCUCAUCAAUGGAUGCCCUGGGAUGUGUCUUCCACUCUGGGAGGAAACCCCGUGCUUUGUUGCCAUGUUUCACGGACGCAACAUCAAGGUUUUAUCUUCUGGGGCCUCUGAUGGUGCAGAAACAGCUUGCACAACGUCAGCUCAACUGGAGGCAAGAAGGGGUGGCUCUCCCCAGUAAGGCCCUCAAUCCCCCACAUCAACCCCCCCCACUUCACAUGCAUGCACACACACACACACACACACACGUGCACAGUACAGGCUGCAGUGGAAAGUGUGAGUCACCUUUGCUUUUGUUAGGUUAGGGUUAGGGUGGCGUUGAGUCACAACAGGCUUUCCUGUGUGGGGGGGUUUGUGUGUGUGUGUGCGAAUGUGCAUGUGUGCACACAUGCAUAAUGUACACGCAUGCUACAUGUAUGUACUCUACAUCCUAUGUAUGCAUUCAUAGUGUACAUGCAUGCAACAUGUAUGUAUGUACUCUACAUGCUAUGUAUACAGUCAUCGUGUACAUG